ACUAUUUUGGCAGAUUUAAUGUAUUAAAUUUAGAAUUUAAUUAUAUAUAUAUUAUAUAUAAAUAGUAC
rnacentral:tRNA from 1 species